rnacentral:rRNA from 1 species
UACGGAGGGUGCAAGCGUUAAUCGGAAUUACUGGGCGUAAAGCGCACGCAGGUGGCUGAGUCAGUCGAUUGUGAAAGCCCUGGGCUUAACCUGGGAAUUGCAGUCGAUACUACUCAGCUAGAGUAUGGGAGAGGGCAGUGGAAUUCCCGGUGUAGCGGUGAAAUGCGUAGAUAUCGGGAGGAACAUCAGUGGCGAAAGCGGCUUCCUGGACCAGAACUGACGAUCAGGCUCGAAAGCGUGGGGAGCAAACAGG